AGAGUUUGAUCAUGGCUCAGAAUGAACGCUGGCGGCGUGCUUAACACAUGCAAGUCGAACGGUAACAGGAGGAAGCUUGCUUCUUUGCUGACGAGAGGCGCACGGGUGAGUAAUAGAUAGAUAAUGUGCCCCUUAGUCUGGGAUAGCCACUGGAAACGGUGAUUAAUACUAGAUACGCCUUUUUACCAUAUGGUAAUUUGGGAAAGGUUUUUCGCUAAGGGAUCAGUCUAUCUCCUAUCAGUUAGUUGGUGAGGUAAGAGCUCACCAAGGCAAUGACGGGUAGCGGGUUUGAGAGGAUGAUCCGCCACACUGGUACUGAGACACGGACCAGACUCCUACGGGAGGCAGCAGUGAGGAAUAUUGCACAAUGGGGGAAACCCUGAUGCAGCAACGCCGCGUGGAGGAUGACGCAUUUCGGUGUGUAAACUCCUUUUAUAAGAGAAGAAAAUGACGGUAUCUUAUGAAUAAGCUCCGGCUAACUCCGUGCCAGCAGCCGCGGUAAUACGGAGGGAGCAAGCGUUAUUCGGAAUCAUUGGGCGUAAAGGACGCGUAGGCGGGUUAGUAAGUCAGGUGUGAAAUCCUACAGCUCAACUGUAGAACUGCACUUGAAACUACUGACCUAGAGUAUGGAAGGGGCAGAUGGAAUUAGUGGUGUAGGGGUAAAAUCCGUAGAUAUCACUAGGAAUACCGAAAGCGAAGGCGAUCUGCUGGGACAUUACUGACGCUGAGGCGUGAAAGCGUGGGGAGCAAACAGGAUUAGA
rnacentral:rRNA from 1 species